UACGGAGGGGGCUAGCGUUGUUCGGAAUUACUGGGCGUAAAGCGCGCGUAGGCGGACCUGCAAGUCGGGGGUGAAAGCCCGAGGCUCAACCUCGGAACUGCCUUCGAUACUGCGGGUCUCGAGUCCGGGAGAGGUGAGUGGAAUUCCUAGUGUAGAGGUGAAAUUCGUAGAUAUUCGGAGGAACACCAGUGGCGAAAGCGGCUCUCUGGUCCAAAACUGACGCUGAGGGGCGAAAGCGUGGGGAGCGAACGGG
rnacentral:rRNA from 1 species